AGCUGCUCCAGGGAAUUCCAGCAACAGCAAGAGGGGUUUGAAAUUUCUCUCAUUAUGUAGGGUUUUACAUCUUGCCAUAAUCAAACAAGCUCAAGAUGACCAUUAAACGCUCCUACAGGACAACAUAUUUCCCCUUUUAUCAGGCCAUUGUCUUUUAGUUGUUGUGUAACCACUAGUCACGUGACUGUUGAGUACUUUGGAUGUAGCUAAUGUGACUGCUGGAUUGAAACAAAGUUUACUUAACUUAUUGUAAUUGGAGGAAACUUUGGCCACCAGAGGUUAGCAAAUGCACAGGAAACCAAAGGGGAAUGAUGAUCUGAAAUAUGUGUGAAAAUUUCUCAAAGUUUUCCAAAACUAAACCAAAACUAAAAUAAAUGUUUUAAAUUGCUUGA